rnacentral:misc_RNA from 1 species
GAUGAAGAACGUAGCGAAAUGCGAUAAGUAAUGUGAAUUGCAGAAUUCAGUGAAUCAUCGAAUCUUUGAACGCACAUUGCGUCCCCUGGUAUUCCGGGGGGCAUGCCUGUUCGAGCGUCAUUUCACCACUCAAGCCUCGCUUGGUAUUGGGCAACGCGGUCCGCCGCGUGCCUCAAAUCGACCGGCUGGGUCUUCUGUCCCCUAAGCGUUGUGGAAACUAUUCGCUAAAGGGUGUUCGGGAGGCUACGCCGUAAAACAACCCCAUUUCUAAGGUUGACCUCGGAUCAGGUAGGGAUACCCGCUGAACUUAAGCAUAUCAAUAGCGGAGGA